UACGUAGGGUGCGAGCGUUAAUCGGAAUUACUGGGCGUAAAGGGUGCGCAGGCGGUCUCGUAAGCUGGGUGUGAAAGCCCCGGGCUUAACCUGGGAAUGGCAUUCAGGACUGCGAGGCUUUGAGUGUGGCAGAGGGAGGUGGAAUUCCACGUGUAGCAGUGAAAUGCGUAGAGAUGUGGAGGAACGCCGAUGGCGAAGGCAGCCUCCUGGGCCAGCACUGACGCUCAUGCACGAAAGCGUGGGGAGCAAACAGG
rnacentral:rRNA from 1 species